CAACCCGUGCAGUCUCCAUGAAAAUACUCCUUAACUCCGCCUGCAGACAUGCUCCUUGACCUCAGCGACUUGCUCCAGGUAGAUCACUCUCCUCCUUAAGUCUUUCCUGACCUGAGGGCAUUGUAGAGGCAUAGCUGUGUUUCCAUACACCAGGAAGUCAGUCUAUGCUGCCUGCCAUAGUAGGCAGCCUUUGUGUUCAGGGUGAUGAAUUUUGUGUGGCCAGAGCAUGGGACCUCAGCAGAAGAGGGCAGCUUAGAGGCACAGCAUUAUCCAAGGACUGAUGUCUCAGCUUUAAAACUGCUUGAGAAACUCUUGUGAAACUUAGUCCAAGGUCAAGCAAAUCUUUUAAAAGGGGAAUAUUGGACCCAGGCGUGCAUUUCCAACUGUGGAAAACCCUCGCAAGCACCGCCUGUUUAGGGUCAUUGCCUUUCUGGAUCCAGAUACAGUAGGUUGUUGUUGCAUUGCUUGUCUGUGUUUGUUUAAUACCAGGUCUCAAGUAGCCCUGGUUGGCCAGGAAUGAAGAGAUAUGCCUGCCUCCGAAGUGCUGGGAUUAAGUGACCAUUGCACCACUCACUUCUAAAUAACUGAGUAUCAUAGCAAGCUGCAGCUAGGGACCUCCAAAGGCAGUGAAGGAGAGAGGGGCAUCAAGAGUGCACUGUCAUCCCACUGAUGGAGCUGUGCUAGAGGGCUGGGUAGAGACUUACUGAAGUCACUGGGCCACACCCUGAGUUGUGGCAAGGCUGUGAGGUCCACACUGACACUGUGGAGUAUGAAUAGAAUGCCUGCAAGCUUUGCCCUGAAGGGAAAUCCUGAUCUGGGUGCCUGCCUGCCUGCCAGGGAUCCUGAGAGCCGAUAGGCCAGAUUAUUGCUCCUGUUUGCUUAUGCAUCAGUGCCCACAAAGAGACUAACAUUUAGAUUCCAGUCAGAGGGUGCCUUGUAUUUUUGUCCUUUCAGCUGUCUUUCUUUAUAAAUGGCAUCUCUCAGCAGCUAUUACCGAAACAUAUUUUUUGUCAAUCUAAAAAUAGCCUGCUGGAAUUGUGAUCAUCCAUUGACUCCAUCUUUGAAUGUGUUGUGCUCAGUUCAGAGCAUGGUCACAUGACUAUAUCCAGCCUCCCAGGAAAGAUGGGGGCCAGGGCCAGGCAGCUCCAGAAGUAGCUUGGACACCUCUUUGAGGAAACCAGAGGUGCACAAGUCAGCUUUGACUUCACAGCUUUGGAAAUGGGAAAACAGUCCAGCUUGUCAGAAUAGAAGAUGGCAUGCCACCAGGAAGGGCUGAGGGCUGGGUAGCUGGGUGACUACAGACUACUCUUCUUGGUAUGUCUCUACUGACAAAAUGGGGUCUGAGGGAGACUGAGGUGAGGACCAUACAAGGUUGUCCCAUCCCGGAGCAUCCACAGCAUGUUGUCCCUGGUGCCAGGCCUUGCCUGACCUAAAGACAGUUUUGCUCUUACCUGUGUGGGGUGCAUACCCAUGUCCAUGAAGACCUCUAAUGGGGCUGGCUGGCUGCUUUGAAGAAAUACGUGAAAGUAGAAGUGGCAAAGACCCUGUAUAUAAAGCCUCCCUCCUUCCUGGUUCCACAUAUACAGCUCAUUCACAAGCAGAGUGAAUUGUAAUGUGGCAGUGUCUAAUAGUAAUAUUAGUAUGCCUGGAAGCCAGGUGUUGUGUACACAAAGCCCUCUCUAGAAAGUAUUCAAAUUAUUUUGUUUUAGAUUUAUUUGUAUGAACAUUUGCUGACAUGUAUGUGUGUGGGCCUCCUGUGGGCCUGGUACCCAUAGAGGCGAGAAGAGGGUGUUGGACCCUCUGGAACUGACUGGAGUUAGAGAUGGUUGUGAGCCACCAUGUGGGUGCUGGGUUUCUGCAUGAGAAACAAGUGUUCUUUACCAUUGAGCCAUCUCUCUAACCCCUGGAAAGUGUUGUUAAAACUUUUUAAAUUUACACCUGAAGUCUAUUUAGAGAACUCUUUCUGUAGUGUUCAGGUCUCAUUGUCAACCAUGUCUAUUGGUACCUGGGUAUCUGGAGGAACCUGAGAGGAUGCUCGGGAAGAGUGCUCCCACAGGAGCACACUUACUUGCAUACCUGAACACAGGCUGCAUACCACAUGCUUACAUCAACAUCACACAUUCCUGCAUGUUUAUGUCAUAUACUCACAUAGGCUAUAUAGUCAUGCACACCAUAGUUUUGUAGACAACCCUUGAGACUUUAGGAAGAUAAAGAAUUACUUCAAAAAGUGCUCUGUGAGCCACUAGUCCUUGUGAAGACCUCAGGAAGAUAGUACCUGUGUCCAGCCAGGGUAGAAGGUGACCAACCCAGUGCUGAUUGGCUAUGGUGGCUAAACCUGGCCUUCUCAGCUGGGUUGACUUACUAAGCAGGCAAACUCUCCCCUUUCGUCCUGUAUGUAAGCGAAGACACCAUUGUGUAUCAUCCUUUAGACUGUGUCUUGCAAACAUUUACUGGUUAUCACCUUCAUGCCAGGAAAGGGGGCUUAGCAACGGCCCCCAGGCUAGGCUUGAUCAGGUAAGGAACUUCUUUCAGGAGGCCAGAGGCAGAAGGCUAGACCAACCAUAUCUGUAAGGCCCAGGAGUCCCAGGAGUGGUCUCGCAUGAGUGCAGUGGGGUUUUCAGGUAGCUGAGGAUGGGAAGGACCUCUGAGGGUGGGGCAGGCCUGAGUGUCCCAGGUUAAUGUAUUACAGUAUUAUACUGAGCUACAACUGCAUGGUAGGGGUUCUACACACUGGCAAACCGUUGCUUCCCUGACAACUGAUAGCGCUACUCCCAUUCCAACACUUGGUCCAUCCCUCCUAGGAUGGACUUAGUUCUACUGCUUACUCCUGUGGCAGAGAAGAAAGAGCUAUGGCAGGUGGCCCAAGCUGGGCGGCAGGCUUCAUGGCAGAUAAGGACUUGAGGUGAGGGUAUUGGAGGAAACAGUUGGGAUUCCAGCUACUGCAUUACCUACCAUACUCUAAUGUGUACCCACAACUUUUCUAAGCAACCGUUGAAAAAGAGUAGGGGAGUCUGGGCAGCCCUAUAGGAAGGAGGUGGGCCCUCCGGGUGUAGAGGCCAGUAGAGGCAUGGUGUGGACUUUUCCUAGCCAAGCAGGGGUCUCUGGCAAUGGGUUCUUUGAAGACUGAACAAUGAAACAGUCAUUUUAAGAAAACAGCAGCUGAGCUGGUGUGGUGGUGAUCGCCUUAACCAGCAUUCAGGAGGUAGAGGCCAGCCUGAUUCCAGGGCAGCCAGGACUACACAGAGAAACCCUGUCUCAAAAAAACCCAACAAAUUAUUUU
rnacentral:lncRNA from 1 species